rnacentral:rRNA from 1 species
AGAGCGAACGCUGGCGGCAGGCCUAAUACAUGCAAGUCGAACGGACCCUUCGGGGUUAGUGGCGGACGGGUGAGUAACACGUGGGAACGUGCCCUUUGGUUCGGAACAACUCAGGGAAACUUGAUCUAAUACCGAAUGUGCCCUUCGGGGGAAAGAUUUAUCGCCAUUGGAGCGGCCCGCGUCUGAUUAGCUUGUUGGCGGGGUAAUGGCCCACCAAGGCGAUGAUCGGUAUCC